rnacentral:sRNA from 1 species
UCAAUUACCGACAAAGUGAUACCUUUUGC